CUCUCUGGAAUAUCUCACGUGUCUUGUUCAUUUUCUUUUCAUUUUUAUCUCUUCAACUUAUCGUUGUAGGUGAAUAAAUUAUCUAAAGUGAUAUAGAAAAAGAAGGGAGAAAACAUAUUAUUGGAAUAUACAAGUUAUUUAUUGUUUGUGUGGCUAAGGAAUAUAUUGCUAUCAUGUUCUCAACGUAGAUUAUUUUGCCUAGGAUCCUGUACUUAGUAUAACAAUCGUUAUUUUGGUUGUAUUUUUUUGUCCUAUGUACAACUCUCUUGUAUAGGUCUAAAUUUUCUCUCAAUGAUUGUAUAGUUGUUAGACCCUAACAGGGGAGUAAUUCCUUCUUGUAAAUUUUCUCUCUUUCAAUACAAGAAAUUGCAAGAUUUUUUUCAGAUUAUAAUCCAACUUUGAGACUUUGAUUCUUUUCAUAGUAUCAUAGCAACAUGAGUUAAGCCUUAGGCUUAAGAAAGUUUCGAAGGCUCUAACUUUAUACAUGGCUGGUGGAGGUUCCGCGAGAAAAGAAGGAAAUGAAGGAGAAACUUUUUCUAUGAAUCCAUACAAAGAUCCUCUAUUCAUUUUAGUGAAUAAAUAAAAUGGAUCAAACCCUCUUGGAAGCAUAACUUUUGAUGGAACAAAUUUUAUAAGUUGGAGCAAGAGCAUUCGGAUAGCAUUGGGAGCCAAGAAAAAAUUUGGUUUUCUUGAAGGAAAGCAUCCUAAGCUUACUAAAAAUGACAAAUAAACACAAAAAUGGGAGAGAUGUGAUUACAUGGUAAGAUCUUGGUUGCUUGUCACAAUGAAACCUGAUGUUGUUGGAAGUUUGGUGAGUAUGUAGUCAACAAGAUUACUUUGGGAGGAGAUAGUAGAGAGAUAUGCUCAAACUAAUGCUCCACAAUUGUUCCAACUCAAAAAUGAUCUUUGGGAGUUACAACAAAAUAAUUUGAGUGUGAUGAGUGAAUAUUAUUGCAGAUUUAAAGGUCUUCGAAAUCAAAUUGCAGACCUGGAAGGGAUGCUAGAGUGUACUUGUGGAGCAAUGCAGCUGUAACAUUGUAAAGAAGGUACGGUAUUAGAAUUACAAGGGAGUGGGAUAGUGAUUAAUUUGUGAUGGGCCUCAACACAGGUUAUGAUCAAAUGAAAACAAAUUUGCUUUGUAUUGAUCCUCUGGUGUCUGUUAACAAGGCGUAUAACUUGGUGUUCCAAAUGGAAAGACAGAAGCAUAGAUCACUGGUGAAUUGAAAAUGCCAGCAUUGAAGCUAAUGCUUUGGCUGUGAACAAACAAAAUCAAAGCAGAAGUUUAGGUUUGCGACAAAACUUUUAGAGAAGGACUACUAUAAGAAAUUGAAGAUGGAAAAAAUGGCAAGGGUAUGUCAGCACUAUGGAAAGAAAGGCCAUUCCAAAGAAGAAUGUUUUCAGAUAGUAGGGUUUCUAGAUUGGUACAAGAAGUCUACCGAACAAUUCAAACAUGCUGGUAAUGCAAUCAAAGAUGGUGAAGAACAGAUGCAAGACAAUCCUUUGGAUUUCACAAAUAAAGGCAUUGAAGGAACUGAAACAAGACAAGACAUCAUGAACAACAUUGUUCAAGAGGUACUUAAAGCUAUGACAGAGAAACAAGCGGGAUCAAGCAGUGGUCAAGCAAAUUUUGUAGGACCUUUCCAUUCAGAAGAACAUCCGUUUUGGAAGGAAGGAAAAUGAUCUUUAUAAGCUGGUGAAGAGUAGUAAGGCUGGAAGAAAAGAUGAUGAAGUUAAGUUGAACUAGGGAAGAAAUGAAACAGUAGUGAAUUGUAAUAAAUGUAGUGAACUUGAACCUUAUCCAUGCCAGAUUAGGGCACAUUUCUAUAUCCAAGAUGCAGCAUCUAGCUUUUUGCAAGUGUAAAAAUCUUAAAGAUUUCUUUUGUGAUAUUUGUGCUCUUGCUAAGCACCACAAGUUACCUUUUAGUCCUAAUAAAUCUAUUGUUGCUAAUAUUUUUGAGCUUA